rnacentral:rRNA from 1 species
GAUGAACGCUAGCGGGAGGCUUAACACAUGCAAGUCGAGGGGCAGCACGAGGUAGCAAUACUUUGGUGGCGACCGGCGCACGGGUGAGUAACGCGUAUGCAACCUACCCUGUACAGGGGGAUAACCCGGAGAAAUUCGGACUAAUACCCCAUAAAGAUAUUUUGAGGCAUCUUAAGAUAUUUAAAGUUCCGGCGGUACGGGAUGGGCAUGCGUAACAUUAGCUAGUUGGUAAGGUAACGGCUUACCAAGGCAACGAUGUUUAGGGGUCCUGAGAGGGUGAUCCCCCACACUGGUACUGAGACACGGACCAGACUCCUACGGGAGGCAGCAGUGAGGAAUAUCGGUCAAUGGGCGCAAGCCUGAACCAGCCAUCCCGCGUGAAGGAAGAAUGCGCUAUGCGUUGUAAACUUCUUUUCCAGGGGAAUAAAACUUUGUACGAGUACGGAAUUGAAGGUACCCUGGGAAUAAGCAUCGGCUAACUCCGUGCCAGCCGCCGCCGUAACAC